rnacentral:rRNA from 1 species
GAGGAAUAUUGGUCAAUGGACGUAAGUCUGAACCAGCCAAGUCGCGUGAGGGAAGACUGCCCUAUGGGUUGUAAACCUCUUUUAUAAGGGAAGAAUAAGUUCUACGUGUAGAAUGAUGCCUGUACCUUAUGAAUAAGCAUCGGCUAACUCCGUGCCAGCAGCCGCGGUAAUACGGAGGAUGCGAGCGUUAUCCGGAUUUAUUGGGUUUAAAGGGUGCGUAGGCGGUUUAUUAAGUUAGUGGUUAAAUAUUUGAGCUAAACUCAAUUGUGCCAUUAAUACUGGUAAACUGGAGUACAGACGAGGUAGGCGGAAUAAGUUAAGUAGCGGUGAAAUGCAUAGAUAUAACUUAGAACUCCGAUAGCGAAGGCAGCUUACCAGACUGUAACUGACGCUGAUGCACGAGAGCGUGGGUAGCGAACAGGAUUAGAUACCCUGGUAGUCCACGCCGUAAACGAUGCUCACUGGUUCUGUGCGAUAUAUUGUACGGGAUUAAGCGAAAGUAUUAAGUGAGCCACCUGGGGAGUACGUCGGCAACGAUGAAACUCAAAGGAAUUGACGGGGGCCCGCACAAGCGGAGGAACAUGUGGUUUAAUUCGAUGAUACGCGAGGAACCUUACCUGGGUUUAAAUGGGAAAUGUCGUAUUUGGAAACAGAUAUUCUCUUCGGAGCGUUUUUCAAGGUGCUGCAUGGUUGUCGUCAGCUCGUGCCGUGAGGUGUCGGGUUAAGUCCCAUAACGAGCGCAACCCUUACCGUUAGUUGCUAGCAUGUAAUGAUGAGCACUCUAACGGGACUGCCACCGUAAGGUGAGAGGAAGGCGGGGAUGACGUCAAAUCAGCACGGCCCUUACACCCAGGGCUACACACGUGUUACAAUGGCCGGUACAGAGGGCCGCUACCAGGUGACUGGAUGCCAAUCUCAAAAGCCGGUCGUAGUUCGGAUUGGAGUCUGUAACCCGACUCCAUGAAGUUGGAUUCGCUAGUAAUCGCGCAUCAGCCAUGGCGCGGUGAAUACGUUCCCG